CCUACGGGAGGCAGCAGUGGGGAAUAUUGCACAAUGGGGGAAACCCUGAUGCAGCGACGCCGCGUGAGUGAAGAAGUAAUUCGUUACGUAAAGCUCUAUCAGCAGGGAAGAAAUACUGACCUUAUGGUCAGCAGACGGUACCUGAGUAAGAAGCCCCGGCUAACUACGUGCCAGCAGCCGCGGUAAUACGUAGGGGGCGAGCGUUAUCCGGAUGCACUGGGUGUAAAGGGAGCGUAGACGGCCAUGCAAGCCAGGGGUGAAAGCGCGGGGCCCAACCCCGGGCCUGCCCUUGGAACUGCAUGGCUGGAGUGCGGGAGGGGCAGGCGGAAUGCCUGGUGUAGCGGUGAAAUGCGUAGAUAUCAGGAGGAACACCGGCGGCGAAGGCGGCCUGCUGGACUGCGACUGACGUUGAGGCUCGAAAGCGUGGGGAGCGAACAGGAUUAGAUACCCGUGUAGUC
rnacentral:rRNA from 1 species